AUGGCUGGUAAGCAGGGCCGCAAGAAGGCGAGGAGUCCCCCCGGAUGCCCUCAGCUGCGUCCGAUCGGCAGCACCGUCUCCGGAUCGAAGAAGCCUGCGGCGGCGACGGUUCCUUCGUGCAAGUACCACCUGUCGGAGGCGUCUGUCCAGGCGGUCCUAAACCACAAGAGGGUGCCUUUCGUCCUUGGGGACUACUUCGACGACCUGACCCCCGAGGAGCAGCAACUCACGCUCGAGGUGGCCGCCCAGCACGAGGAGGUCGAGGACAGGUACGCCAAGUACCAGGAAAGAGUCCGCAAGGAGCUGGAUGAGAAGGGAUUCGUCGCGCUCCCCGAUGACGUUGACAAGAGGAGGGCCGCGCUGAACGCGCGCUGA
rnacentral:rRNA from 1 species